rnacentral:rRNA from 1 species
ACACGUAGGACCCGAGCGUUAUCCGGAUUUACUGGGCGUAAAGCGCGUGCAGGUGGUUUAGUAAGUUAGAUGUUAAAGCUCCGGGCUUAACCCGGAGAGGUCGUUUAAAACUGCUAGACUUGAGGACGGUAGAGGAAGGUAGAAUUCCGUGUGUAGUGGUGAAAUGCGUAGAUAUACGGAGGAAUACCAGUGGCGAAGGCGGCCUUCUGGCCCGCUCCUGACACUCAGACGCGAAAGCUAGGGUAGCGAACGGGAUUAGAAACCCCGGUAGUCCUAGCCGUAAACGAUGCACACUUGGCGUUGGUGUGGUAAAACACAUCAGUGCCGAAGCUAACGCAAUAAGUGUGCCGCCUGAAUAGUACGGUCGCAAGAUUAAA